CGUACACGACGCUCGUGCCACGCAGUCGACUAGCCGCCAUUACUCGUGGCCGAAACACGUACCAUCGUUAUUUUUUAUUUUAAACAUAUGCUAACGUAGCGAACGGACGCGCUAAUAAGAUCUAAUGAAAAGCAACUGAAGUCAUAGUACACAGACUUAUUUCUGCAGUGAAGCCGAAAGAGUGAAGUAAUAUUGAACAAUAAUUAUUUUAACUGGAAGUCGUGGAUAAACAGAAAUAAGCAAUUAGAUGACAAAUAAAAUAAUAAAAAUAUUAAUAUAAAUUUAUCUUUGUUGUGAAUAAAACUCUUCGUUUCGACAGUGGCGGUCAGUGAGCAAGUGCGGAUUUCAAAGAAAAAAAAAAAUUAAUUAAAAAACAAAAUGAAGAAAAUUCUAACAAUCUAAAUACAAUUGCAAGACGUGAUACGAUCAAAUGUUGAGAAAGGAGCUCGAAUUCAAAUGAAGGGCUUUAAACUCGCUUGCUAAAGUGAAUUGCUGGAACUAAGUGACAUAGGUAAGUUAUUGUUCUAUCCGGCGUAGAUUUUUUAAAGUCAACGUUCUUUAUUAAUGAAAUCAGUAACACAAUACUUCGUUAUUAUUGAAUUUGUAAUACUUAUUCGUUUUAUGAUUGAUUU